rnacentral:tRNA from 1 species
GCGGACGUGGUGAAAUUGGUAUACACGCCAGAUUUAGGUUCUGGUACCGCAAGGUGUGAGAGUUCGAGUCUCUCCGUCCGCACCA